UACGGAGGGUGCAAGCGUUAUCCGGAUUCACUGGGCUUAAAGCGUGUGUAGGCGGGCAGUUAAGUCAGUGGUGAAAUCUCCGGGCUCAACCCGGAAACUGCCAUUGAUACUAUCUGUCUUGAAUAUUGUUGAGGUAGGCGGAAUAUAUCAUGUAGCGGUGAAAUGCAUAGAUAUGAUAUAGAACACCGAUUGCGAAGGCAGCUUACUAAACAAUUAUUGACGCUGAGGCACGAAAGCGUGGGGAUCAAACAGG
rnacentral:rRNA from 1 species